rnacentral:misc_RNA from 1 species
AAGUCGUAACAAGGUUUCCGUAGGUGAACCUGCGGAAGGAUCAUUAACACUUUCAUUUUAUUGAAAAUUCAUUUUUCAAUAAUUUACUUACCCACAUUUUUGGAUGAAUUAUUUUCUUUUUUAUUCUUUUUUUAAAUUUUAAACCCAAAUACCAUAUUAUUUCUAACAUUUAUACACAAAAAGUUUAAGAAAAACAUAAAAAACAACUCUUAACAACGGAUAUCUAGGCUCUC